AUACUUACCUGGCAGGAGAUACCAUGAUCAAGAAGGUGGUUCACCCAGGCGAGGCUCAGCCAUUGCACUCCGGUUGUGCUGGACUCUCAAUUCCCCAAAUGUGGGAAUCCUCACCGCAUAUUUCUGGUAGUGGGGACUGCGCCCCCGCCUCCCCGA